rnacentral:lncRNA from 1 species
AUAUUUCAUAAAGUAAAUUAAAGAACAUAUAUCGAAGUAGACAAAUAAUAUACAUAUAUAUGACAGAAUGUAUCAGGAAAUGUAUUUAAAAAAAUAUAUUUAUUUCUUAUCGAGAUCGUGAUACACGAUUAUUUAUGAUACGUGAUUAUUUUAAUGAUAUUUGAAUAUUCUUCACGUGAACAAUCGAUUAACAAAUUCGCUAAUAAAAUAAGAAUAGUUUCUUUCCCGCCAUUAUUAAUAAUCGAAGCACAGUGUAACCAGUAAUUGUUUAAACAUCAAUCAUUGUUAUAAAUUAUUAUAAACUUACCUAAAAAAAUCAACGUGCGUGCAUUUUCGAUGAUAUUGUAGAUAUUAAUAACACAAAAUUUAACACCAUAUAGUUAUAAGACAGAAAAGAUCAAUCUUGUUACGACAAACCGCCAAAGAUUAUUCGGCUUAGUUCCUUACUCAUCGCGCCACCUGCAAACCGUCGAGGACUACAAAGUUAUAUAGAUUACGCACGUAUGCAUAAAUUUUGAAUAUCGAAGCGCGAUCGUGCAACGGCAUCUUUUUUUCUUUUUUGAAAAGUCGAAGAAAUAGAAAAAUACGAAAAGCCCGGAACACGAAAAAACGAAGUAAAAAAUAAAGAUAAAGAAAGAAAGAAACAAUUCUAUUUUAUAUUUAAAAAAAUGAAAUAUGAAAAAUAAUUUCAUUAAAUUUUUUAAAAAUACGACGAAUGAGAACAGUUGCGUAAUAAAUCCGAUCGCUCACGCACAUUUUUGAUGCAUAAAAAUAAUAUAUUAUAUACACUGUAUACAUUCAUAGUAUAUGCACAUAUGCAUUAGCGAAUUAACGAAACUUGCCUAAUUAUUGUGUCUAUUAUGGAUUAAUUAUAUUAUUGUCAUUUAUUUUUUUGUUAUCGAUCUUUUCGAUUGCAUAUGUUUUUUCUUUGGUUUCUUUUUCUCCGCGUUCUAUAGUGUAAAUAAGAACCGUAUAGGGACGAUGUAACGAUGUAAAAGAAUUAGUAAAGUAAAAUAGUAGCAGUAUCAAAGGUGAAACUUUAAAGCAUAUAGUAUAUAUUAGAGUCUCAUGAGACGAGAUACACUAUAAAAUAAGUAAUGUUAUACUGGCGAGAACUGGGUUCCCAGUUGGGCCAAUAUUCGAUAAAUAUCGGCGUGAAGGAUCUAGUUAUUUUUUCUUUAUCUUUUUAGUUCGUUCGUGAUCGCGUGAUGAUCGUUGCUUUUCUCAGGAGAUGAAAGCCUGUCUCGACGUGACAUUGCUCGGAUUCGUUGGUUGCGAGAACCAAAUAAUUAAUUUAAUUUUCUUCGUAUAAACGUGUGUAAUAAAACCAUUUGUACAUAUGUACUUACUCUCAUAUGUUUUCCCAGUUUCUUGGAAUAUUUUAAUAAAAUUUUAAAAGUUGUGAGUCAUUUAAAUACUGCAAUAUUUUAAAAAGAAAAUUGUUACACGUGUAAAAAUUCAAUUCAUAAUAAUAAUUAUAAACAUGAUGUACGCGUAUAUAUAUAUAAAUAUGUACAUAAAUAUCAAAUACGAUUGUUUAAUGUGUAAUGUGCAUCAAUGUGUAAUUUCAAUCGUGGUAUUGUGUUAAUACGGAAUAUAUGUUUUUUAUUAUUUUAUCAAUUUGGUAAAGAUUAUUAAAUUAAUAUAUUAUUUUUAGAAAAAUUUAAAAAUAAUUUAACCAGUAUUGGAAUAUUUCUUUUUCAUUUGACUGAAACUGGGAUAACAACAUAUGAAUUUCAUGCAUAAUCCUUAAAUACUGAUUGCAUCCAGUGACCUACAUUCCAGUAGAUUCCUAACCUAAUAUUGCAAAUAAAUGACAUAAUGCAAAGGUAACGUAUAUAAAAUCGAUAUAUUCUUGCAUUUUCACACAAAUAUUGAGGAUAUGAAAUUUCGAAUUGUAGGUUUGAAUGUUAUAUACUUGAUCAUAAGCUUAAAUUUGAAAUUGGCGAUCGCUUUAAUGUCGAGAUCAAAGGAUCGUAGAUAGUUGGAUGCAACGAAAUAUUGGGUUGGAAAAUCUUAAUGAAGGGAACCUGAUGGGUUAUAUAAUUGACAAAGAUGAUUAAGAAUAUUGGAAGAGAAAAAAAUUUAAUUGAAUUUAUAUCUAAAAAAUGAUGAUUCAGCUGUUCGUAAAAACUGCAUGGUGGACAUCAAUUUCGUGAAUUAUCGCGUGCAAAUCUUUCAUUUGCAUAAAACGUGUUGAAAAAAAAAUAAGAAAGAUUGCACGCAACGUUACAGCAAUAACGCUCAAGCACGAGAUUAAAUGGCUACUUGUGUGUAACCACAUUUAUGUCGUCGAUGUUUAAUGUUUGUGGAACAAGAAAAUUAGUAAAAAAAAAAAAAUUAUGUAUUAAAUGUUCAAUUAUACUUGGUGUAAUAUUCAAUAAGGAAAUAAGAAAACAAUGUCAAUAAUAUUAUUAUAUUAUGGAACGUAAAAACGCUAUGUUUUUUAAAUUAAAAAACGACUGGACCACUCGGACGAUCGUCGAAGCGGUAGUAAACGGUGUUGUUCCUGGCGCUUCGACGCGAGCUCAAAGAUGAAAACGUGAUACAUUAAUUUUCGCUGAUAUAAAUUAACGAUUCGGCUCAUGUCUGAUGUAGUAGAACUGUAGUCAUACGUACUCUCCAGUCAAGACAAAAGCAAUACUCGAAUAUAGAAUAAUUUUUCAUAUGUAAUGUCCAUGAGUAUAUGUACAAAUAUUUGAACACCUUUAUGUAUGAAAACUUCGAUAAUUGACCAUAUUCGAUGACAAGAUUACACGUUGCGAGUGAAGUUUAUUAACUCAAUAAAUGCUCAAAACUCAUAAAUAUCAAAUAUGUAAAAGAGAGAAGGAAAAAAUUAAAAUUGAUUCCAUAUCUAGAAAAGAAAUAAAGAAUAAUCUUCUUUUUAGAUUGAUUUAAUGAAAAAUUAUGUAUAUACGUAAAAUGAUCCUUAAUGUGGGAAAAAAUUUUAUGUAUUUGAGAAAUAUACAUUUUGAGUAAAGGAGAAAUUAAAUGUAUAUAUACAAUUCAAUUCCAAUGGAAUGGAACGAAAUGCUCAAUGGCAAUUAAAAAAGGAUAUGAGAGAUUUGAGCAUCUUGUUGAGUGUCAUUGUCACAAAAUUAUCUACUUAAGCAAUAACGCAUUACCCCACGUAAUAAUCAUUUAAAAAAAAAAUGAUUCCAGGUUCCCAUGAAACUCGUUCUAUGCAUGGAAUAACCUGAUAAUAAAAGGCCAACUAUAUAAAAUGCGCGCGAUCAAUCGAUCAGGAUUGCUCAAGAAACUAGAAACGAGUCAAUAACGAGUCAAUAAAAUUCGUAAGUCUCGUUAAGUUUAAUUAGACGUUAUAGCAAGCUAACCAUUUAUAUAGCAGUGAUAUUAAGUACAAAUAAUAAAAAGAAAAAAAAAAGAAAAGAGGAAGAACGAAAAUGGAAAAAAAAAAAAAAAAAAAGAUUAUAAAAUUUCGUAGACAAACAAAUGCAACUACGUUAGUCGAAUUGUCAUUUCCUUCGCUCUUCGAUGUUCGCGCGCAUUUUCGAUCGAUAAUGUAAAAAGAAUCGGAUAAAAAAAAAAAGUGAUCGUCAAAGAUGUCGUGUCGAUUAUUAAGAACAAAGUAUUUUAUAUUAUACCAUUGCAAGAAGAAAGUUCAAUUUAAUAGGAAUCUACUGAUGAUCACUUUUUUCACUUCUCGUUAUUCACACGAAAUUUCUCUCUGUUCAGACUCUCACUGUUCACUGUACUUUCCACUUCGUCUUCGACCUAUAUGCGUACGAGAAACAUCUCGGUUGCAAAGCGUUCGCAAUUAAUAAUUAAACUUUAACAAACAUAAUAUGUAUACACGUAGGCGCAUCGAGUGUAAUGACACUAGUGUUUUGUGGACGUAGAAAUUUUAAUUAUAAUUUAUUCUUUUAUUUAGACAUGGUAAAGAUAUUGAAGCUGAAAAAAAUUGAUUUUUUUUUUGUUAUUUAUUUAUUGAAAAAAAGAUUGAAUUUUUAAUUUUAUUUAUUUAUUUAUUUAUUUUUUCUUACAUAUUUUAUUUCAUCAAGAAUAAGAGGAAUACACAUUUGGAUCAAGUUUUUAAUUGGAAUACGAAUGCUCUACCAAAGUAAGUACGAAUUACUACGUCCGGAAACAGAACGAAAAUGCGAAAAUGUAACAGCAGCCUCUCGCUCGAGAUUCUUCUAUCUGUCGUUAUAUCUUUUCCUAUUUCUACCUCUACCUUCUGUUUUCAUACAGCUCUCUAUUCUCUUCUAACCAACUAAACGUAUUAUUAUUGUAUUACAUCCUCUCAUGAAACGUGAAAUAUUUCCUAUUUAUUACCAUAUCAAAGCGACUAUGUAAAAGACUUGGUAGAGGUUAAGAGACACGUAAUUGUUCUCAUAAUGUUUCCUUCAACCCGCUUUCAAUUCCUUCUGUCACUGUCUCGAUAUCUUUUUAUAUAUAUCAAAAGACUUUCCGUUAACGAAGAUGAUUUUUGACCGAUUCUUCGUUGAGAUGAUGAUAGGCGUGAAUUUUUGAUUCGAUUUCAUAAUGUUUUUUAGCUUUUAAGAAAACGAUCGUCUAAACACAAAAAAUGUCUGUUUUUGAAGCUGCAAGCUUUUCUUAUCGGGAAAAAAAAAAGGAGCCUUUUAAGGUUGAUAAACAAAUUUGUUGUUUUGGAAUAGUAUAUGAGCGAGAGAAAGAGAGAGCGUAAGAAGAAUGAAACGAGAGAGAGAGAGAGAGAGAGAAAGUGAGAAACGGAAAGAAUGAGGAGAGAGAGAGAGAGAGAAAGAGGAGAACGAAGAAAAAAGUGCCUAUAUACAUCAGUAAAAAUUAUUCAUUAGCGUGUAUUUAUGCGUUUCAACGAGUACGGACAGUGUCAAUUACAGGUUUGAAAAAAAAAAAAGAAAAGAAUAAGCAAACAAGAUAGCAUACGUGAUGAAAACGAAAGAUAUGAGCAAAGAAAUAUGACGAAGCAAUAUCGAGCGAUGAUCCGAGAUUACAAACGCUUGCGAGUACCAAUUAUUAACAACGACUACGACGAUGACGAUAAUGAUUGCGAACUAUGAUUACUAUUUAUUGUUAUUAUUGAUUGCGAACCUAAAUUAAUGAGCUAAUCGCCGUGGGGUGUCGCUAGGGUUUCAUUAGGAUGUGUAGAUGGCGUUUCGAGACAAAUGUUUUUUUCCGAUCAACGUCGAGAGAUAAAAUAAGAAAGGAUCGAUGGAACAAAGUUAGUUGGAAAACUAAAAUUAUACCGUGCAAAAGCAAUAAGUGAUUUAACGUAUUGACAUUUCUUCGCGUAUAUAUUAUCGUUUGGAAGCUUGCUUGAAAAAAAAGCGUCAUUUCGUUCUGCAAAAAAUCGUGCUUCCAAAGCAUCGCCAUGUAUCCUUAUGGGCUCGUUACGCCGCAUACCACGGAGUUAGGGACGGAUGUGAUAUAAGGUGAACCUUAAUCUUACCUAUAACGCAUAUAGAUAUUGAUAUUGUAUGCAUUGUGAUAGUAUCCUCGAGGAAAAAAAAAAAAGAAAAAAAGAGAACAACACACACCAAUCUAAAAAAAAAAAAUAACAACAACAGCAACAAAAGAAAAGAACAAACCGCCUAAAAAAAAAAAAAAAAAAUCCCUGCCUCCUCUAAAGUGCGACUGAUAUUUACAGGAUAUUGUUCCAAUUGGAUGCUCCCAAGGAAGCCGGGGUAUUCAAAAGCAAUAACUUCGUAGGCGGUCGCGGAUCCUCGAUGAGGUACCUUUGCGACCGAUUAAUAUAAAUAAUAAUAACGGCGCAGAAAAAAAAAAUAAUAAUAAAUAAAUAGGCCGAGUGAAUUUUUAACCUUAAUAAUUUUAAUUGUAACGAUGACUUAGUGGCGCAAGAUCACAUACACACACACACAAGGACGUACGAAGUCUGGAUCACACUCGGGACACGUGUACACACAUACAUACACACACACACAUUUACACAAAUGUAGUGAAUAAUUAUUUGCUACUCGUUACGAUAAUAAGCUAAUCGAGAAAAUAAGAGAGAAUAAUUUAGCGAGGAUGAGAAAAUAGCGAGAGAGAGAGAGAGAGAAAGAGGAAAACGGACGCGUGAAAGAGGGGAGUACGAGCAGUAAGAAAUGGUAGAAAUAGUGUAGUGGAACAUUUAUACACGAGCGCCUAGCACGCGCACACCCAUCCACAUAGCCACGUACAUACAGUGACACACUAUACAGUGAGCCUAAUAAACGAUUUAGUAAGAGUUAUUAUUAUAAUUAAAAAAAAAAAAGAAAGAAAAGAAAAAAAGAAAAAAAAAGAAAGAAAGAAAGAAAGAAAGAAAAGGCGAGGAGACUAGCGAUGGCUUUUAUAAGAUGAAGUAAUAAGACGCAGCGCGAAUAAAAACGCGCAUCACUGGUUACAUUGAUAUACAUAAAUCUAUUAUAUAUAUAUAAAUAUAUAUAUAUAUAUUAUAUACAUAAAAAAAAUAUUAUAUAUAUAUUAUAGUAUUUCGAACUUUAGUUCGAAGAAAAUAGCAACGGUACGACGAGUGAGUAGAGAGCGCAAAAAUAAUAACUAAAGUUUUGUCGUGAAGAUCGAAGGAAAAGUGAAUACCGUGUGUGUGAAUGAAUGUGUGUGUGUGAGUGAGAGAGAGAAAGAAAGAGAGAGUGAAUGUAAUAAAGAAAAGAAAAGAAAAGAAAAGAAAAGAAUAAUAAUAAAACGGAAAGAACGAAGGAGUAGAGAAGUAAAUGCAAAAAGAAGAAAAAAAAGAAAAAAAAAUAAUAAUUGCGCAGGUAUCCAUAUUUUAUAGCUUUUACGUAAGGAAAUUAAAACCGUACACACGCAGAACGCGAAGUUAACUAUAUAUAUUUAUAUAGAUACGUUGACACGGUAUUACCGGUGAAAUUAUAUCGAAUUACUGAUUAGGGCUGGCGUUGUAUACACGAUGAUUUAUCGCCUCGAUGAUUACGCGUCGUUCGCGUUUAUUCGAACUAAAUCCACGGGAACGUGAAUCUACGAGAUAAUGUACGAAGAAGAAGAAAAAAGAAAAUACGAGAACCAUUGUUACUUAACGCGUACAUAUUAUGUACAUGGCGAUUUACUUUUACCAUAGCUAACCUACUGUCAUCACUAUCGUUCUUUACAACUAGUUAUUAUAUUAUUUUCGACUCGACUAUUAUUAUUCCCCGUUAUCGACGAUACAUUAUUAUUUAUUAUAUUAUACAUUUAUCGCAAAAUGUCAACGAUUGAACGACGACGAAGAGAUUACCAGUUAUCCAUUAUAUCUAUUAACGGAAAAAGGAGAAGAAGGAAAAAAAAAAAAAUAAUAAUAAUAAUAAUAAUAAUAAUAAUAAUAAUAAUAAUAAUUAUACCUUGCAUGACUACGUAGGGCUAUACUGCCGCCGAAGCAAUACAAAGAGCAAUAUAGAGUUAAAAAAAAAAAAAAGGUAAUUAACGAGAAUUAAAGGUAAACUAAAGGUAAACGAUAUUAAUAGCCGCGGAGAAAAAAAUGCCGUAGGUAUAUUAUACAUUAAAGACUCGAUACUUAACACUUGAUGAACACUUUAAUGAUACAUGUACACACGUACACACACGUAUAUAAUAUAUAUAUAAUAUAAUACGUACAUAUAUUACAGAGAAACGCAAUAUAAAUACGAAUACAUACACGACAAAAGAUUACAUAACACCACACACACACACACACAUACGUACAGAAACACGCCACCAGGUGGAUACACUAUGUAUGGUCAUUAAUUUAUUCUGACCGUAGUGCUAAUUGUACUUAGCAUUUACGUAGAUGACACUAAUUGCCUAGGUCGACCAGCUCGUCCGGGGUUCCUGUUGCCGUGCGCCGUGUUACACCCUCUCCUCCUCCUCUGACACAACUCCUCUCCCUCCUUCCAUCCAUCGUUCGUUUCCUUCCCGCGGCGAGGAAGCCAUGAUGAUAUCGCCGUCGCGGUAUAAAUUUCCUAGCGCGUGGUGCCGCCGAACGGCAAGGGCGAGAACCCUGGUCGAUCAAAUUUCGCCUAAUAAUGAAAACGACAAAAGGAAAAAAAAAAAAAAACGUGUAGUGAUAUAGAGAUUAUUCGUAGAAUGGCUAAUGUAUUUCACUCGGUGCCUGUGACAGCUGAGUAAGCUCGCUAUCUGUUCAAGAACGAGAUGAUUGACAAUACAAUUGUUGGAUGGGGAGCAACGUAUUCGAACCUGUUCACCUUCCUUCUCGAAGCUUUCUGUUUCGAUCGAAAUAUUUUCUUUUGACAUGUAUUAAUUUAAUUUGGUUAAAAAAAAAUAAAAAUUGAAAAACUUUUUUUUUUUUUUUACGAAUAAAUUCAUUUAAUUUUCUCGAUCGAAAAUGGAUUAUCAAUCGAACGAGAUUCGCUUUCCUAAUUUUUCAUUCUUCGUAUCGGAAUAUUUCGAAUGUUUGUUUUCUAAGGAUCGACAACACGUUCGAUCGAUAAGGCUGUUCACGGGUACCACCUGGAACACGUAGUAUUAGCAUGGUGUGAAAACGAUAGUGACGCUAGAUGAAUUAGCUUUAAGCUUCUUUCUCGCUAAGAGGGAAUCUAUUAUUAUAAUAACGAUAUUUACAUACAUUUGUAUUAUUUGUAAACUAGCGCUAAUACAAAACUCCAAAUUUGUGCAUCGACUACGCGAAACAAGAAGAGAGCCCCGUUUCCCUGACACCCUUAUUCCCGUACCCACGAAGCCCAGACGAACGAGUCAAAACUGAGAAAUCGAAGAAAAAAGAGAAAAAAAGAAGAAAAAAAGAAAAAAAAAGUAAAAAAAAUGAAAAAAAUGAAAAAAAAAAAAAUAAAGAAGAAGGAAAUGGAAAAUAAAAAUCCCGCCCUUGUUCCUGUUCCGCUCGUUCGAACGGACACCAACGUUUUUCUAAUGAAAUGUGAAAAAGAAAAAAACGACGAAAUCAUUAAAAAGAACACCAGAAUAUCUUUCGUUUCUCCGUUCCAGUUUGUAAUUUUUCGCUCUGUAACGUCUCUCGUCUUAUUAUAUGUAAUAAUCUUCUCUCUCUGUAAUAUCGGGCCUUUUCCUCCAAACGAAGUAAAAUAACGAGAUAUAAAAAAGAAAAAAAAGAAAAAAAAAAAAA